rnacentral:lncRNA from 1 species
CUGAAAAUAGCCGAAAAGGUGAGCACCGUAUCAGGGAUCAGUAGAAACGUUGAAAACGUCAAGAAAAUAAUUACCACACUGACAAGUGACGUUAAGAAAAAAGCAAUGUUCAUUUGUAAAGACCGGAGAAUUACCGGUGGUGGCAACUCUUCUGCUACCCCCCUGACACCGGCGGAGGACCGGAUUGUGGGACUCCUCAGCAAGGCUGACUACGAGGGCAUCGAUGGAGGCUUUGAGACUGGGUUGCCAGUGGACUUCUUGGAGACCACAACUUCAGUCAGUGAAGUUGUUGACGUCGAUGCUACACAACCGCCUCCUGAAAAGAAAACACGUCCGCUGAAGUCAUCACCAGAAACCCUUGCUCUGCUAGAAAUUGAGAGGGAGAAGCUUCAAUUAUACAGAGAGAGAGUCGCCAUUGAAAGAGAGCGACUCCUCCUUGUGAGGGAAAAAUUUGAAUGGGAGAAGAGUAGGGCCAGAGUGUGCAAAACAUGUUUAACUGAAAUAUAAAUGAAUGAAUUGUAAUCUUGACCAAUUGUAAUCUUGACCAUUGUGUUGCUUCUAUUUUUAAUUUAGGUUAAAAAAAAUCUAAUAUAAGUCGAU